GCCGCGGUAGCUCAACAGACAGAGCACUCGCUUCGUUUGCGAGAGAUGCAGGUUCAAAUCCUCGCCUGCGGCACCA
rnacentral:tRNA from 2 species